rnacentral:rRNA from 1 species
UACGUAGGGUGCAAGCGUUGUCCGGAAUUAUUGGGCGUAAAGAGCUUGUAGGCGGUUUGUCGCGUCUGCUGUGAAAUUUCGGGGCUCAACCCCGAACUUGCAGUGGGUACGGGCAGACUAGAGUGUGGUAGGGGAGACUGGAAUUCCUGGUGUAGCGGUGAAAUGCGCAGAUAUCAGGAGGAACACCAAUGGUGAAGGCAGCUCGCUGGAACGGUACUGACGCUGAGGCGACGAAAGCGUGGGGAGCGAACAGG